GCGCCUGUAGCUCAGCGGAUUAGAGCAUCGGCCUCCGGAGCCGAGGGUCACCCGUUCAAAUCGGGUCAGGCGCG
rnacentral:tRNA from 1 species